rnacentral:rRNA from 1 species
GAUGAACGCUGGCGGCGUGCCUAAUACAUGCAAGUCGAGCGAACGGACGAGAAGCUUGCUUCUCUGAUGUUAGCGGCGGACGGGUGAGUAACACGUGGAUAACCUACCUAUAAGACUGGGAUAACUUCGGGAAACCGUAGCUAAUACCGGAUAAUAUUUUGAACCGCAUGGUUCAAAAGUGAAAGACGGUCUUGCUGUCACUUAUAGAUGGAUCCGCGCUGCAUUAGCUAGUUGGUAAGGUAACGGCUUACCAAGGCAACGAUGCAUAGCCGACCUGAGAGGGUGAUCGGCCACACUGGAACUGAGAACCGGUCCAGCCCCCUACGGGGGGCAGCAGUAGGGAAUCUUCCGCAAUGGGCGAAAGCCUGACGGAGCAACGCCGCGGGAGUGAUGAAGGUCUUCGGAUCGUAAAACUUUUUUAUUAGGGAAGAACAUAUGUGUAAGUAACUGUGCACAUCUUGACGGUACCUAAUCAAAAAGCCACGGCUAACUACGU